AUUGAACGCUGGCGGCAGGCCUAACACAUGCAAGUCGAGCGGCAGCGGAAAGUAGCUUGCUACUUUGCCGGCGAGCGGCGGACGGGUGAGUAAUGUCUGGGAAACUGCCUGAUGGAGGGGGAUAACUACUGGAAACGGUAGCUAAUACCGCAUAACGUCGCAAGACCAAAGAGGGGGACCUUCGGGCCUCUUGCCAUCAGAUGUCCCCAGAUGGGAUUAGCUAGUAGGUGGGGUAACGGCUCACCUAGGCGACGAUCCCUAGCUGGUCUGAGAGGAUGACCAGCCACACUGGAACUGAGACACGGUCCAGACUCCUACGGGAGGCAGCAGUGGGGAAUAUUGCACAAUGGGCGCAAGCCUGAUGCAGCCAUGCCGCGUGUAUGAAGAAGGCCUUCGGGUUGUAAAGUACUUUCAGCGGGGAGGAAGGUGUUGAGGUUAAUAACCUCAGCAAUUGACGUUACCCGCAGAAGAAGCACCGGCUAACUCCGUG
rnacentral:rRNA from 1 species